UACGUAGGGGGCAAGCGUUGUCCGGAAUUAUUGGGCGUAAAGCGCGCGCAGGCGGUCAUGUAAGUCUGGUGUUUAAUCCCGGGGCUCAACCCCGGAUCGCACUGGAAACUGUGUGACUUGAGUGCAGAAGAGGAGAGUGGAAUUCCACGUGUAGCGGUGAAAUGCGUAGAGAUGUGGAGGAACACCAGUGGCGAAGGCGACUCCCUGGGCUGUAACUGACGCUGAGGCGCGAAAGCGUGGGGAGCAAACAGG
rnacentral:rRNA from 1 species